AUUGAACGCUGGCAGCAGGCUUAACACAUGCAAGUCGAGCGGGGUGAUGGUGCUUGCGCUAUCACUUAGCGGCGGACGGGUGUGUAAUGCUUAGGAAUCUGCCUAUUAGUGGGGGACAACAUCUCGAAAGGGAUGCUAAUACCGCAUACGUCCUACGGGAGAAAGCAGGGGAUCACUUGUGACCUUGCGCUAAUAGAUGAGCCUAAGUCGGAUUAGCUAGUUGGUGGGGUAAAGGCCUACCAAGGCGACGAUCUGUAGCGGGUCUGAGAGGAUGAUCCGCCACACUGGGACUGAGACACGGCCCAGACUCCUACGGGAGGCAGCAGUGGGGAAUAUUGGACAAUGGGGGGAACCCUGAUCCAGCCAUGCCGCGUGUGUGAAGAAGGCCUUAUGGUUGUAAAGCACUUUAAGCGAGGAGGAGGCUCUUUUGGUUAAUACCCAAGAUGAGUGGACGUUACUCGCAGAAUAAGCACCGGCUAACUCUGUGCCAGCCGCCGCAGUAA
rnacentral:rRNA from 1 species